AGCAGCCGCGGUAAUUCCAGCUCCAAUAGCGUAUAUUAAAGUUGUUGCAGUUAAAAAGCUCGUAGUUGAAUUUCGGGAUCAGACUGUCGGUCGUGCCUCGGUACGCACUGGCAUUAUUGGUUCCUACCUUCUGAAGAACCGCGAUGUCAUUAAUUUGGUGUCGCGGGGAAUCAGGACUGUUACUUUGAAAAAAUUAGAGUGUUUAAAGCAGGCUUACGCUUGAAUACAUUAGCAUGGAAUAAUGAAAUAGGACGUUUGAUUCUAUUUUGUUGGUUUCUAGGAUCGACGUAAUGAUUAAUAGGGAUAGUUGGGGGCAUUAGUAUUCAAUUGUCAGAGGUGAAAUUCUUGGAUUUAUUGAAGACUAACUACUGCGAAAGCAUUUGCCAAGGAUAGUUUUCAUUAAUCAAGAACGAAAGUUAGGGGAUCGAAGACGAUCAGAUACCGUCGUAGUCUUAACCAUAAACCUAUGCCGACUAGGGAUCGGAUGAUGUUAAUUUUUAAUGACUCAUUACGGCGCCUU
rnacentral:rRNA from 1 species